CGGGUCGAAGCCGAAGAGGGAUCUGAGGUGGACUGCAUACAAGUGACCAUGCAGGCAUGAGUAGCGAAAAACCGGAUGAGAAUUCCGGUCACCGAAAACCUAAGGUUUCCCGGGGAAGGUUCGUCCGCCCGGGGUUAGUCGGAACCUAAGGCGAGGCCGAAAGGCGUAGUCGAUGGAGGACAGGUUAAUAUUCCUGUACCACCUUGUUGGAGUGAUGGAGGGACGCAGUAAGUCAGGUGAGCCAACUGCUGAAUAUGUUGGUCGAAGGCCGUAGGGCGCACGAUAGGCAAAUCCGUCGUGCUUUCAACCCGAGAGUCGUAAGGUAGCCGAACGCAAGUUUGGCGAAUUCACUGUGACGACGCUGACGAGAAAAGCUUCUAAACGUUGAAAACAGGGUGUCCGUACCGAAACCGACACAGGUAGGUGAGGCGAGUAGCCUAAGGUGCGCGAGAGAAACCAACGUUAAGGAACUCGGCAAAUUGACCCCGUAACUUAGGGAUAAGGGGUGCCGCUUCAGGUGAAGGGACUUGCUCCCGGAGCCCAGAGCGGUUGCAACAAAGAGGCUGGUGCGACUGUUUAACAAAAACACAGCUCUAUGCUAACUCGCAAGAGGAUGUAUAUGGAGUGACACGUGACCAAUGCCAAAAGGUCAAUGGGAGAGGUUAGCGCAAGCGAAGCUUCGAUCUGAAGCCCUGGUGAAUGUCGGCCGUAACUAUAACGGUCCUAAGGUAGCGAAAUUCCUUGUCGGGUAAGUUCCGACCUGCACGAAUCGUGUAACGAUGCCAGCACUGUCUCAACGUGGAUCUCGGCGAAGUUGUAAUUCCGGUGAAAAUGCCGGAUACCUGCGGAAGGACGGAAAGACCCCAUGAACCUUUACUGUAAUCUGAUAUUGGUAUUUGAUUGCUCUUGUGUAGCAUAGGUGGGAGGCAGUGAAACCGCUACGCCAGUACCGGUGGAGCCACAGGUGAAAUACCACCCUGGUGUAAUUAGAUAUCUAACGGUGUCCCGUGAAUCCGGGCCCCGGACCGUGUCAGAGGGUCAGUUUGACUGGGGCGGUUUCCUCCUAAAUUGUAACGGAGGAGCCCGAAGGUACACUCAGCACGGUUGGCAAUCGUGUGCAGAGCGUAAGGGUAGAAGUGUGCUUUACUGUGAGACCGACAGGUCGAGCAGUUGCGAAAGCAGGGCCUAGUGAUCCAGCGAUGGAAUGUGGAAUCGUCGUUGCUCAACGGAUAAAAGGUACUCUGGGGAUAACAGGCUGAUAGCGCCCAAGCGUCCAUAGCGACGGCGCUGUUUGGCACCUCGAUGUCGGCUCAUCACAUCCUGGGGCUGUAGAAGGUCCCAAGGGUUCGGCUGUUCGCCGAUUAAAGUGGUACGCGAGCUGGGUUCAGAACGUCGUGAGACAGUUCGGUCCUUAUCCUCCGCAGGCGCAGGAUAUUUGAUGGGAUCAUUCCUUAGUACGAGAGGACCGGGAAUGACUGACCUCUGGUGUUCCGGUUGUGGCGUCAGCUGCAUUGCCGGGUAGCUAUGUCGGGAACGGAUAAGCGCUGAAAGCAUCUAAGCGCCAAGCCCACCCAAAGAUGAGAUAUCCCUUCCCGCAAGGGACUGAAGGCCGGUCGAAGACUACGACGUUGAUAGGACGGAGGUGUAAGCGCAGUAAUGCGUUCAGUUUACCGUUACUAAUCGGCCGUGAGGCUUAACCAC
rnacentral:rRNA from 1 species